AGAAAGGUAAGCUAAUUAUAAGCUAGUAGGUUCAUACCCUAUUUAUAGAAAAAAUUCUCCUCUCUA
rnacentral:tRNA from 1 species